ACUGCCUGCUACGGCAGCGCAUACUAAAAUUGGAUUGAUACAGAGAAGAUUAGCAUGGCCCCU
ensembl:snRNA U6 U6 spliceosomal RNA